UCUGUCAGGUGCUGUUAUAUUAGGAUCAGAGAGUCGUCAUAAAAUGACUUUCAUGCUGGUCUUGGCUGAUAAUUAACUGCAUGGCAUUGCCUGCGUAUUCUGGAGGGGCACGGGCGCUGAUUUAUGCAUCUGUUUAAUUAUAUGAAUUGAAAGACUCUGUUCCCUGUAUAUGCAUCCACUGCCUGUGUGCUUUCUCUCUCCCCCAUAUUUCUGACAUUUGGAUUUUCCCCCUACUAAUUGACAUGCCUGUCGCCUCCUUCUCCUGGUGUCCAUUUCUGGAACUGCUAUUUGUAUAUUGCAUGAUAUUUUAUCAAGAAAAAAAAAACAGAUCUAAUUUCAUGAAAAUGCUGUUGCCAUAAUGCUCAGGAGAACAGGGGGAAGAGAGAGAUUCAAGUCUUCCUAAUGUCUACCUUGUAUGCAGGUCUGAUCCGUGGUGCUAAGGAUCUGAAGUGUGAAGUAAGACCUGGGUCUUCUGGAUUUUGCAGUUCUCUGCUUCAUUAGGGCCAGGAACUUGUCUGAGCCCAGAGAGAGCCUGAGUGGUGACGUUCAAAGGGAGAAGAUAAGCCUGGACUCCUUGGAAAGGAUGUUAGAGGAAGACGAGAAUCAUAUUGAAUGUAUGGCCCAGGCAAAUUGAACAUGAUCUCAUCUUAACUUGAUGACAUCUACAAAGACUCCAUUUCCAAAUAAGAGCACAUUUACAAGUGGAUAUGAAUUUGAGGAGAUACAAUUCAAUCCAGGACAGAGGGUGUUUGAAGGAAGAACUGAAGAACAUGGGAUGAAUGUCUUUAUCCAAUGAGGCCGAAAGCCAGCCUCAUAAAGGGCUGGCACAAAAUGGGCUGGAGAUAUGAAUACAUGUGGUUAUGUGAGGACAAAGACAAGUAAGAACUGAAUGCCUCUUCUCAACCACUGUCCUCAAGUUUAUUUCUAGGCUAUUUGUGUACACGUGAAUUUACGUCCUAUAUCUUUCAAAUGGACCUGAAGUCACAGAAGUUAGAAGGAUUUUAAUAUUCCUCAAGGAAAUCAACAUUCACAAAAUACACACUAAGUGCCUGGCACAGUUCUAGAUUCCAUGAACAAGUUAUUUUAUUAAACUUCCUUAUCACAAGUAGCAAUUAUUUUCCCAAUAAUACAGGUAAGGAAACUGAACCUGAAAAAAUAACUUCCUUCUUCCAAUGUUAGUUGUACACAUAUUUAACUAAUUUGCAUUCAAAUAGAAGUAAAUAUCAUAAAACACUAAAUAAAAUUUUUCAUAUCAUUUAAUGCAAAGCAUUAUCUAGAGUCAUGCUAUGGUCAAUGGAUCCUUUUAUUGUGAUUUAAUUCAUACAUUAUUUAGAACAAAAAUUAUCUUCCACUUCCUCAUGACCUCCAUGAAAUCUCAGUACACAAAGAACACAUAGACAGCAUCAAUGGUAGAGUCGCCCACUGGCUUUUAUAAAUCCUCAAAUCAGAAUUCACGUUUUAAUUCCAGAUAAACUGGAGAAAAUCACUGGAAACUAUAAAAACCAAUUGUAGCCUGAAAUCUGCCACACAACAAUUAUGCCAUUUGGGAAACUCAAUUCUCUAGUUCCCUCAUCUGUUAAACCAGGGUGCAGUGCUGAUGUAUCUCUAAAGACCCCUUCGCUUUAUUGUUUUACGAUCGUAAGCAUUUUCAAACCACAAUCUUUUUAAAGCUUCUACGCAAAAAGCCAUAACUGGUAAGAAACACAUUUUAAUUCAUUUUAAAUUCAAAUUCUUAUUUGACCACAACCUGAUUUAUUUGAGACCCAUGUUAAAUUGUGGAAAUGUGUGGCACCAUAUUGAGAAUAGAUGAGAUACUAUGUCGCCCAAUUUCCUCUACCAAUUGUGCAUUUCUUUACUAUUGAUGCUUCUGUUUCUCCAAAUGUUGUCUUUCUGGAUGUCAAAAUUUUGAGGCUGUGUAGACCUGAGAAGAAGGUGCUUGCUGAAGGGUAUUGUUUGCUCCUUGUGGGUAAUGUUAUUCUCCUGGACUGGCUGUGAGACCUCCUCCUCUAGGAGGAAAACCUUGGGCCCAUGUGCUUGGCAGAUGAUUAAAACAAGCUCUGUUUAGAGGUUUUCCUUUUGACUCAGUAAAAUCAGAGAAAAGAGAAAGAACACGCUAGUGACUUUCCUCUCUACAAGGACGUUUCAACUUUAAGAAUGUGGACAUGAUGACUCCUGAAAAUGAGCACUUUGGAUUCAUGUUGGCAAGCAUGCCAAUAAAUAGCAUGGCUGGGGGAUCUCCCUUUAAUAAGACUCCACUUUAUUUGCAGUUCUUGAAUAGAUCUGCUUCUUAGAAGUAGGAUAAGAUUUUUACAAUGUCUGGGUUGCAAAGAGUAAGUUUUACCUUGCCUUAAGCAUCAUUUGGCCACCGAGGAAUUCCAGCAGAAAUUUGCCAAAUUUAAAAUGCAUGGAUUUAAGUUCAAAAUAGACUGACUUUCUAUCCAUAUUUUUUGAAAAUAUCCCAUUAAUUUUUUUAAAAGGUAAAUUUAUGACUUUAUGUAUUAUGUAAUAAUCUAUUAAUUAAUA